UCAGCUUUUUGCAGGCCAACACUAUUGUUUACAUAAGAUUUUUAAAAGUCACAAUGUCAGGGACUCUAACCCAGACGGCAAAGUUCAUUGUCUGACCGCGAGAGAGACAGGCAACACCAGCAAGGUCCGAUCAAAAGCUCUUUAUUGACAAGUGCACGCAUCAAUAGAGAGCAGCUCGUCUCCAGAGACAACCAGCCUGCUCUUUAUAUCUUAGUAUAAGCCUAUAUAGACAGUUCCGUCGCGUCAUAAAUUAUUCACUGGAGCAACCCACCCCCUUCUUUUAACAACUUAAACUAGGCACCUUUUAGUAUACAUGCAUGCCUAAAGUUAGAAAUAUAGGGGAGU